rnacentral:rRNA from 1 species
UAUGUAGGGUGCGAGCGUUAAUCGGAAUUACUGGGCGUAAAGCGUGCGCAGGCGGUUUUGUAAGCCAGAUGUGAAAUCCCCGGGCUUAACCUGGGAAUGGCAUUUGGGACUGCAAGGCUCGAGUGCGGCAGAGGAGACUGGAAUUCCUGGUGUAGCAGUGAAAUGCGUAGAUAUCAGGAGGAACACCGAUGGCGAAGGCAGGUCUCUGGGCUGACACUGACGCUCAUGCACGAAAGCGUGGGGAGCAAACAGG